GACGAACGCUGGCGGCGUGCUUAACACAUGCAAGUCGAACGAAGAGCGAUGGAAGCUUGCUUCUAUCAAUCUUAGUGGCGAACGGGUGAGUAACGCGUAAUCAACCUGCCCUUCAGAGGGGGACAACGGUUGGAAACGACUGCUAAUACCGCAUACGAUCUAACCUCGGCAUCGAGGAUGGAUGAAAGGUGGCCUCUAUGUAUAAGCUAUCACUGAAGGAGGGGAUUGCGUCUGAUUAGCUAGUUGGAGGGGUAACGGCCCACCAAGGCGAUGAUCAGUAGCCGGUCUGAGAGGAUGAACGGCCACAUUGGGACUGAGACACGGCCCAGACUCCUACGGGAGGCAGCAGUGGGGAAUCUUCCGCAAUGGACGAAAGUCUGACGGAGCAACGCCGCGUGAGUGAUGACGGCCUUCGGGUUGUAAAG
rnacentral:rRNA from 1 species